GUGCUCACUUCAGCAGCACAAAUACAAAAUGGAAAUGAUACGGAGAUUAGCAUGGCCUCUAUGAAAGGAUGACAUGCAAAUUCAUGAAGCAUUCCAUAACCAU